rnacentral:rRNA from 1 species
UACGUAGGGCGCAAGCGUUAUCCGGAAUUAUUGGGCGUAAAGAGCUCGUAGGCGGUUUGUCGCGUCUGCCGUGAAAGUCCGGGGCUCAACUCCGGGCCUGCAGCCGAUACGGACAGACUAGAGUUCGGCAGGGGAGACUGGAAUUCCUGGUGUAGCGGUGAAAUGCGCAGAUAUCAGGAAGAACACCCGUGGCGGAAGGCGGCUCUCUGGGACGGUACUGACGCUGAGACGCGAAAGCGUGGGGAGCGAACAGG